UACAGAGGGUGCGAGCGUUGUCCGGAAUCACUGGGCGUAAAGGGCGCGUAGGCGGCUCAGUAAGGUUGCGGUGAAAGCCCGGGGCUCAACCCCGGGUCGGCCGUGGCAACUGCUGGGCUGGAGCACUGUAGAGGCAGGUGGAAUUCCGGGUGUAGCGGUGGAAUGCGUAGAGAUCCGGAAGAACACCGGUGGCGAAGGCGGCUCACUGGCCCGGUACUGACGCUGAGGUGCGAAAGCGUGGGGAGCAAACGGGG
rnacentral:rRNA from 1 species